rnacentral:rRNA from 1 species
AUUGAACGCUGGCGGCAUGCUUUACACAUGCAAGUCGAACGGUAACAGGCCGCAAGGUGCUGACGAGUGGCGAACGGGUGAGUAAUGCAUCGGAACGUGCCCAGUCGUGGGGGAUAACGCAGCGAAAGCUGUGCUAAUACCGCAUACGAUCUAUGGAUGAAAGCGGGGGACCGUAAGGCCUCGCGCGAUUGGAGCGGCCGAUGUCGGAUUAGGUAGUUGGUGGGGUAAAGGCCCACCAAGCCAACGACCUGUAGCUGGUCUGAGAGGACGACCAGCCACACUGGGACUGAGACGCGGGCCAGACUCCUACGGGAGGCAGCAGUGGGGAAUUUUGGACAAUGGGCGCAAGCCUGAUCCAGCAAUGCCGCGUGCAGGAAGAAGGCCUUCGGGUUGUAAACUGCUUUUGUACGGAACGAAAAGGUCUGGGUUAAUACCCUGGGCCGAUGACGGUACCGUAAGAAUAAGCACCGGCUAACUACGUGCCAGCAGCAGCCGCAG